UCGAAUCUACCGUAGUUGAUCUUUUUCUUGUUUUUUUUUUCUUUCUUGCUUUUUAUUUUCUUUUUUAAAGUUAUGCCUUUGAGUUUAGUACACUUAACCAAACUAAUUUGAUCUGUCAGCGACGAGAUACACUACUUCUAAUUAAAGAAGAAAAAAAUCUUAUGAUCCAAAGAGCCUCUUUUGACGAUUCACGAAAAUUUGUAGACAAGAUCCAUUAAACUAGUCGUAACCGUUCCGGCCGUUACCCUCUCUCCGUAACGUUCCUUUUCCAUCCAUUAUUUUCUCUUCGACAUCUUCGUGAAACGUACGGGCUGCUACUCUUCGUAAUUACGACACAAACGUAGCUUCCGGGCAUUAACCGCGAACGACCAUCACGCAAAUGAACUGCUAUGAGACUAUCUCACUCGCGAGGAAUAAUGCCGACGAUAAUGACAACAAUAGACGGGAAAAAAGUGAACGGGAAAAGAAAAGAGAGAGAUGGAGAAAGAUGGAUAGACAGAUAGAUAGAUAGAUAGAUAGAGAGAGAGAGAGAGAGAGAGAGAGAGAGAACGAGAGAAAUGGUGCGACGGACGGAUUUUGCGAAUUCUUCAAAAAUUUCCACUUCUCGUCCAGAUAGGUCGGAUGAUUGAGAUUGCGAUGCGUUUCAAACGAGGACACAGUCUCCGACUAUUUUUAUAGACCGCCUCUUUUCAAUUGCUCUCUUUCCCAUAAUAAGGAUAUGAUUACUUCGUGCGGUAGGAAUAAAAGAGAUAGAUCGAUGGAUGUAGUACGCUUCAUUCUCGUUAGGAUUUUCAACUCGAGAAUUUGAGUGAUUUCAGUUGAAAUCGAGCGUGGGAAAUCAAUCGAUCCGACAUAACGCGUUUAUUUACGAACGCGUUGCGAAUGAAUAUGCAUUGAACGUACAUACAUACUUACAUACAUACAUACGUAGGUACGUACAUACGUGUAUGCAUGCAUGCAUACAUAUGUUUAUUUGCAUAUGCUCGUGAAUUCCUAAAGGUUAAUCGAUCGAGAUCUAAAACGAUUUUCUCUCGCUAGGAUCUUAUCGUCCCUAGGCUAUAUUAUUCGAGAUCGAGGGAAGGGAAAACUUUAGGCGAUGGAUAUUUUCUAAAAGUUUAGACGACGUUAAAAUUUUGUUGGCGAGAGAAAGAGAGACUCUCGGAUAACGUUUUUACUAUAGCCUCUUUUUUCUUUUCUUUUUCUUUUUUCCUCUUCCGCGCAUCACCCUGGAGUUUGUCGUUGCUCGUAGCGUCGCGAGCGAUAAGCUAGGAGAGUUCCGGCAACGGUGUUACGGUGUAUCCUUUCCGAGCGAUAUCCUGUGGGAAUAAACAACUGCGAUAUCCUAGGGCGUUUUACCUGUCCCUGCGGUGUUUGUGUUUGCGAAAAUUUGCAUUCGCCCAGCCUUGAAAAUUUGCAUAAGUAUAUGUGAACUGAGACUAACCGAAAGACACGCGUAUCGUCUCUCUUUUCUUACAGAUCGAUAACUCUGGGAAGCUUGGACCAUGGAAGAAAUUCUCUCUUUCUAUCGUUCUUCCAUUUUCAUUAACUCUUUAUCAAAACGAAAUCUCACAGAAUAUAUUCAAGACAUUACCCGAACGUUUUUCAUUCGAAAUCACGUAGGGAAGAUGUUGUAAGCCAGUAUUCAUUUGCACGAUCUCCUAAUCUGUCUCUUUCGUUAUUAUUAUAUCAUUAAAAAUGGAGGAACAGCUUACCGAGGUAUGGUGGACCGUGUCGAAAGCCAAGUUGUCGAUACCAGUGGUCAUCUUGGCAAUCUAAAACAAAACGUCAACGUCAAUAUCGCUUUAAUUAAUCUACAAAAUCAUUUUAUUAAUUCCCUCGUUAAUUACAUGUUAAACCGACGCAUCUAUUUAGGCCUGAAUAGUUUUCGAUAAUCGUGCGAUCUCGUCCUCUCGUUGACGAAGCCACCGCGCCGCGACUAUACGUAAUUUUGGGAAAGAGCCAGGAAAUAGCGAUCGUGCGUAUCCAUCGUUAUCUCCGUUAAUCAUGAAAUUUCCGCUAUUUGCCUAAGCGUUUACCAAUCGCGGGCGCGUUCAUCGAUAACGAGUUGUUUCAACCUCCGUUGCGUGUUUGCGGACCAUGCGAAGUAAACCCAAUGAUCAUCGAAUACGAUUCUUACCGAUUAUAAUCGAAUUAAUCUUGUAUUGAGGGAAAAGGAAAUUUGACAGUCGGCUCGUUUGAAAGAAAAGAAAAAACAAGAAAAAAGAAAAUCAGGACUAUAUUUGAUUUAAUUCCUAAUAUCAUUUUCAGAAAUAAUUAUCAGAAGAAUUGGUAACAUUCUUCAAGUUAUCGUUUGGAUCUUCGCUUAAGUCGUUCAACGCUCGUAGAGUACACACUUUGAAUAUAAGGUUAAAUUGCGUUAGGGGAUCGUGAAAACGCAUUGGUAACAUUCUCGAGACGUAAGACAAUGGCUGAUAGGUGCGAAUGAACGGUAAUAGAGCUCAUGGCUGUCGAAGCAAAAGGAUAAUAGGCGUCGCAGUUAAAUCAUUAUGCACCGUGCAUGAUAUUUUUUCGACCCCCAUCUCAAUGAUAAAUUCAAGGCUCGCAUACUAGGUCAAAGUUUAGCUUAGAUUGCUCAUCUAAGAAAAUCUUUUAAUUAUUCUUAUCGGAUUUGAAGACACUUGCGAUUAAUUACCAAUUGAUUUCUCUUUUUUGCGAAAAGGUAUGUAAUAAAAAAAAAAAAAAAGAAAGAAAGAAAAAAGAGAAUAUGCGUUACAAUCUUACGUAAGAAAAUAACGUCGUUAAUACACCUCUCUUCUCGUCACGUAAACAAUCGAGACAAAUAGAGAGCCUUAAAAAACAAUAAAAAAAGGAGUCAAGGUUUAUCGAUAAAAACUUCUCUGUUGUUAGUGACGUGUUCUAUGCGAAAAUAUUUUGAAUUACCAAUAAACAACAAAAUACUUUUUUCUUUCAACUAUAAUAUCGCGUAUGAUAACGUCACGUCGUAAUGAUAAUGUUUAUUUACGAAAGAUAGUUAUUAAAAAUUUCUACGCGAAUUCUACGAAUAUAAUUCUACGUUUCUAGGAAUUUGUAUGAAUGUUAUUGCCUACAAUUAUCGGCUUAUGUAGAAUACUUACAACGGUACGAACGUGACCCAUUAAAGUGAUAAAAGAAAGAAGAAAAAAAAAAAAAAAAAAAUAAAAUAAAAAUAUAUAAACGGUCGAGAGAUUCCCAAAGCGGACAGAGAGAACGUGCCGAAGAUCGAGCGUAAGGGCUCUCGAGCGGGGGACCAUCUUUAAGUUCAACACGAUUUCACCAUUAGUAACCUUUCUAGCGUUUCCACGUGAUUGCCUGGCAUAGUACUCGACUAGCCUUGACAUAGAAGCAAGAAAAGAAAGGUCAGUCGCUGGAAUAAUCGAUGUAAAGCCGAGCGAUGAGAAGGAAGUAUACGGGAACUGGAUCUUGCGUAGAACGAAAGUUAAACUUUCACCAAGAAAACCGAUCAUCGUUAACGCUAUAAUAUAUCUGCAUAAAUAUAUUUGUAAUCCUUGAAAAAUCCAAAUAAAUAAUACUCUGUUUGA